GGACGCCCAAACAGAAACGAGAAGUUUGCCUCUGAUGGAGGGCAAAAAUAUUCUUCUUUGCUUUAUGGUGCUUUUGCUGCUAGGAAAUUCAUCUCAUGCGGAGUGUGAACUGCACGUUGCUUUUACAGGCCCUGCAUGCAUCGCAUUGACUUGCCAAUAUGCAUGCCAAAGUUCCUGGGGAGAUCACACCAAGCAAGCUUAUUGUGUGUCUGUUAAUGUUGCCACAUGGAACUGUAGUUGCAACGUAUGUAAGUGGAGUUGAGCUAGUCCAUCAUGUCAAACAAUGGACAAUUAUGUGCCUGUGAGAAUGUCUAUUGAGCACCAAUUUUGAGUGUACCUGUGAUUUGAUUUGAUUUUGUCAUAUGUAAUCUCAGGUUUAGUGAUUGUGCGUCUGUAUGGCUCUCUUUCGUAAGUCUAGACAUAACCAUAUGUAACAUGAAUGAACCAAGUGUUAGAAAUAAUGGGCUUGGCCCACAUACAUUUUCUGAAAUUC